UCCGUAGGUGAACCUGCGGAAGGAUCAUUAUCGUAACAAAAUGUGAGGGGCAUGUGAGGGCUGUCGCUGACUCAAUGUCGUGCACGCCCGAGCGUGUCCUCUCACAUAAUAAUCCAUCUCACCCUUUGUGCAUCGCCGCGUGGGCACCCUUUGGGAUCAUCUCGGAGGGGGCUCGCGUUUUCACACAAACCCCCCUUUUAAAAGUGUAGAAUGACCUCAUUUAUGCGCUAACCCGCAAUCAAUACAACUUUCAACAACGGAUCUCUUGGCUCUCGCAUCGAUGAAGAACGCAGCGAAAUGCGAUACGUAAUGUGAAUUGCAGAAUUCAGUGAAUCAUCGAAUCUUUGAACGCACCUUGCGCCCCUUGGUAUUCCGAGGGGCACACCCGUUUGAGUGUCGUGAAAACCUCAACCUCCUUGGUUUCUUCUGGAGACCAAAGCAGGCUUGGACUUUGGAGGCCUUUGCUGGCACCUCUCUCUUUUGAAGGUCAGCUCCUCUUAAAUGAAUUAGCAGGGUCCUCUUUGCUGAUCCUCGACGUGUGAUAAGAUGUUUCCAUGUCUUGGUUUCUGGCUCUGUCACUCUUGGGACCCGCUUCUAACCGUCUUGACCUUGCGUCGAGACAAUGUUCGAGCAUGUCUCCCAUCUCGGGAAGCUCCCUCGACCCCACGAACCCUUGACCUCAAAUCGGGUGAGACUACCCGCUGAACUUAAGCAUAUCAAUAAGCGGAGGA
rnacentral:rRNA from 1 species